rnacentral:miRNA from 1 species
CCCAAUCUAAAAAUUCUCUCUCUCUCUCUCUCUCUCUCUCUCUCCCUCUGUGUGUGUGUGUGUGUGUGUGUGUGUGUGUGUGUGUGAGAGAGAGAGAGAGAGAGAGAGAGAGAGAGAGAGAGAGAGAGAGACUGUGUGU